AGCAGCCGCGGUAAUUCCAGCUCCAAUAGCGUAUAUUAAAGUUGUUGCAGUUAAAAAGCUCGUAGUUGAACUUCGGGGUCUACCCAUUGGUCAGGCUUAUUGUCUGCACUGGUGAGAUGGAUCUCUACCUUCUGAGGAACUUUCAUGCCAUUUAUUUGGUGUGGUUGGAAAUCAGGACUGUUACUUUGAAAAAAUUAGAGUGUUUAAAGCAGACUAUCGUCUGAAUACAUUAGCAUGGAAUAAUGAAAUAGGACGGACUGAUUCUAUUUCGUUGGUUUCUAGGAUCACCGUAAAUGAUUAAUAGGGAUAGUUGGGGGCAUUAGUAUUCAAUUGUCAGAGGUGAAAUUCUUGGAUUUAUUGAAGACUAAACUACUGCGAAAGCAUUUGCCAAGGAUGUUUUCAUUAAUCAAGAACGAAAGUUAGGGGAUCGAAGACGAUCAGAUACCGUCGUAGUCUUAACCAUAAACUAUGCCGACUAGGGAUCGGACGAAGUUAAUUUUAUAAUGACGCGUUCGGCACC
rnacentral:misc_RNA from 2 species